ACCAGCCACCUUAUAUCUCUCUCCCCGACCUCCCGAACCCGUCCGACCCUCCUCGACGGAACGCCUCCGUCUGGCCACGCCCGGUUGCCGCACCAGUCCCAACCGACAACUGGGACACCGCACGGACUUUCUGGGCAAAAGCCGACCCUAACUCGCCGGCGUUGAGGCGCGGGGACGCCGCUGCUGCCGUGCGCUUAGCCUUGCCGGAACUUCCUUCUCCGGCUACCGAAUCCAGCAAUCUUUGGGGGGUUUUGCAACUCUUUGAUUGGUCUUUCAACCACCCAAAAGAGGUAGAACGAUUUGGGGUAUAGGGCAAAUCGGUAUUGUUGGUGUUCUUGAGCUUGGAGGUAAUUUCUGGCCAAGUUUUUGAGUUCUAGGGUUUGUGCUAGUUUGAUUGUUGUUAUGCUUGUUGAGAAGAAGAGUUUGAUAUAUACUUUGUUGAUUUUGGUCUGAGUUGAGGUAGUGAUGGUGGUUGACUGCCACUGUCGGCAGUUGAUCGCCACUGUCGGUGGCUGCUGCCGGUUUUGUUGGUGGUUUUGAGUAAUUUUGUAUGAUUUCUAGAAGGGAUAAAUGUUGUUGUAUUGUAUGGUGAUUUUUGGUGAAGAGUGCUUGGAAAUUGGGAUAGUUUUGAUGGCUCCAUGGGUGAGAGAUGAAUGGUAGUGAAGUAUUGGAAAUUUUGGUGAGUGUUAGUAGGAAUUUAGGAAAGUUUAAGUCGAUUUUGGUGAAAGAGUAGAUGUGAGCCUCAUCCUUGGGAAUUUUCAUAUUUUUCAUUAUGUGUUAGAACGUUGGGGAGGAAUUGGAGUUGAUUAAUAAAAAUAAGGUUGGAGUUCUUCUUAGGUUUGGAUGCGUAUAGAGCAAGUGAGGAGGACUUUAUAUUUGUUAAAUUUGAUAUUCUUGUAUUUUUUGUCUCGAACCUUAAAUCUCGUUUUGUACAGGACGAGAGGAGACACCACGUGAGGAGGGCUCUGACCGACGUCAGGCAUAGCCGUCUAUAUUGUGAGUGGACACUUUGUUUUUAAUGGAAUAUGCAUGCAUGAUUGGAGAUUUGAAAUAUGUGGAUUAUUUGGCUUAAUUAUUACUUUGAGCAUCUUAACGUGUGGGACACGUUAUUAAAUUAAAUUUAUUUCUUUUCUCAUGGAAUUUUCCGAGUACGGUUGGGAAUCGUACUUAUGUUUUAAAGAUGAGUUUCGGGAAAACUCCCAUGAAAUUAUAUUUUUCUUUCUUAUGCUAUAUUUGUGUGAUUAUAUGAUGUCCAUGCUAGUAUGUCGUUCCACAUUUCGAGGUGAUGUGACUUCCACGUUUCAAGUGGCAUCACGCAAGCCCUGUACCCUAUCCGUCAACUCGACGUGACGGUACAGGGAGUAUGGGAGUACUAUGCCUGGGAGGCAAUCGAGUCUGGGAGACUCACUUAUAUGGCCAUAUAGGAUAUUUUACUUGAGUUGUUAAUUUGACUAGCGGGGCUAGUCCAUCAUCUUGGAAGUUUCUUAUAUGAGGAAUCCGUUUAUUUUUCUUAUUGCUUUAGGACUAGCGGGGCUAGGGUGAAUUUUGUUGAGAUUAUAAUAUUUGCAUGCAUAGAAAUUCUUAAUUACGUAUAAAUGAAAAAGCAUAUAAAAAGUGAUUUUGUAUUAUUUUAUUCUUGGAUGCAUAUUAAUUAGUUUAUUUUCCGUCCACUCACGCUAAUGUUUUUAAAUGCUUUUUCCUGGGCCCUUUGUUUUCAAAUGCCCAGAUUGCAGAGCUCCUGUUCGGUUUUCCUAGGAGUUGAGGCAUAGUUUUCCCGCUGCUCCUUGCUGAUCGUAGGUUACCUGUUAACCUAUGUGUAGUUGUUUUAUUUUCCUCCCUUAGUGCUCUGAGAACCAUGAGAUGAUGUAAAUUAAGUUGAAGUGUUUUUCUUUAGGACUAUGACUCAAGUAGAGAGUUUAAUCUUGGUUGAUGUUCAUGUUAAUUAAUGUAGUUGAGUAUUUGGUUUGGUUGUUAAGUACUACUAUGACUUUGGUUCUUGUUAUGGGGAGUGAAGGACUCCUGGAGUGGUGGUUGAUGAUUAUAGUUGAAGUGUUCAGUUUCAUUACAGGAUGGGUUGUCCAUUUUUAGGGGAGGUUAUGCCGAAAUUUCGGUAUAAUCUCUUUUAAGAGUGGACCCCGCAAGACUUGCCUGUUUUACUGGGUGUUUUCGGGGUGGGUCUUGUCAUGUUUAGUUUGUUUUGGUAGAGUUUUGUCGUCCCUCCUCUUUGAGAGAGGGUUUAAGUCUUUUUUUGAGCGAGGGUUUUAAGUUUUUGGUAGGUUAGUGUCGUUUGGUUGUGUCGUUGAGUGUGUCAUGGUUAUGAUGUCGUUUUCAAGGAUUAUUAGUUUUGAUUUCGGUUAGUUUUUGUUGUCAAUAUAAUGGGGAGGUUGCCUACAUGCUAUAUGCUGGCAGUUUUGGUGUAUCUUGCUUGAGGAAAUUGUUUUUUCUUGAGGUUGGUUGUGAACCUGUAAGGAUGGAUCGAUGCUUCUGGAACAAAUUAGGUUACAGCUGAACCCUAUUGGUUCUUGUCCAUUGUAAUGUUGGUGUUUAGGUAGGGAGGCGAGUUGGGAGUUUGUAUUCACCACUGUUAUCUCUCAUGGUUUGUAUUUUUUGAUUCUAUUUGAUAAAAUAUUUAAUUUUCUCAAAAGAAAAAAAAAAGUUACAAGCCAGAAGCCUAAGAAUGAAAAUGAAAACCUUACGGGAAGGGAAAGAGAAGGGAAAUCAUUUCCAGAUAACUUUAUGUUUUGAUGUUUGGUAAUAAAAGGAAAAUCAUCCGGAAA
rnacentral:lncRNA from 1 species